GCCUACAGCGAUUGGCUUAUCAAUUGCCAGCUCCACCAAUCCCUGAAGAGGCCUCCCCUUUAAAAACCUAGGACUUCCUGGGAGAAGGCCGGCAUCAUAACACCUCAGGAUGCAUUUCCGGGCCAUAAUCAAGCCACUCCAUGGAGUUCACCCAGGACAAACUCCAACAACUCCACUCCAUCAACCCACUGAGAUUA